rnacentral:rRNA from 1 species
UCGGGAAUUUUGGGCAAUGGGGGAAACCCUGACCCAGCAACGCCGCGUGAAGGAUGAAGUAUUUCGGUAUGUAAACUUCGAAAGAAUAGGAAGAAUAAAUGACGGUACUAUUUAUAAGGUCCGGCUAACUACGUGCCAGCAGCCGCGGUAAUACGUAGGGACCAAGCGUUGUUCGGAUUUACUGGGCGUAAAGGGCGCGUAGGCGGCAAUUCAAGUCAUCUGUGAAAUCUCUGGGCUUAACCCAGAACGGCCAAGUGAUACUGUCGCGCUAGAGUGCAGAAGGGGCAAUCGGAAUUCUUGGUGUAGCGGUGAAAUGCGUAGAUAUCAAGAGGAACACCUGAGGUGAAGACGGGUUGCUGGGCUGACACUGACGCUGAGGCGCGAAAGCCAGGGGAGCAAACGGGAUUAGAUACCCGAGUAGUCCCUGAGCGGGCUGGCAAGGCGCAU